ACUUGUGAUUCCGUCACCGGAAUUUCUUCUCAAGUGGUCUCUGAUCCAGAGAGACACACCCAGCGGCAGCCGUUGACUCCCUCCACCCUUGCUUCCCUCUCAACCAUCUCACCUCCAUCUGUCCAGUGGAGCCAGAUGUCCCACCUUCUUGGGAGAAAUUAAUUGAGGCUCAUUUCCAGGACAGAGGGGCAAGCUGGGUCUGAGGAGCCAAGCAGAAAAACUUCCCAAAAUCACUGGGUGGGGAGGGGUCAGAGACUUACUGCUGCCCCAGCUGUUCUGACUCUGCCCCCAGCUUUUGGCCCCACCCUUUUAAAGCACCUUCAGAGGUUCCCAAUGGUGACAGUAAACAAGUCUCCACUGUCCUGGCCAUCUCUGCUGUGUUCACCCUACUCCUGAUCUUUCUGGCUGCUCAGGGACUGACAGCCAAGAUGUGAGGCUGUGAUGAGCAGGAACAGGGAGGCCUGGAGCCCCCAGCCAUUGUCAUCACUUCCCUGAUCUGCCUAAAUUCUGCCCAGCAGUCCGUGAAAAUGGUUUGCUGAUGACAUAUGUAAGGACUUUAACUCCCCUCAAGCAAUCUGCUCAUCUCAAAGGGUAAAACAUUGGCUCACUCCUAAUGCAAUAAAUGACACAUAAGGUCACAAUUCAAUGGUA
rnacentral:lncRNA from 1 species